rnacentral:lncRNA from 1 species
UGAGAUCUCUUAAGUGAGGCUUUGACUUUGGAUCCAAGACACACUCACCGUAUACCAAUUUUAGUGAGAAAUUAAGAGCAAAAGUUUACAAAUGAUGGAAGAACACUUGUGAGUUCUUUCCAAUCACUUGUUUUAAUUUCCAAUUACAAGAAAUUGAAAUGAUGGAACAAAUACAAUUUGUGAAGCAAAAAGGAAAAGAAAUUGAAUGUGGCAGCUUUGGCUUCUCUCAAGAAAAUUGAUGCUGCAAAUGAUCUCUCACAAAGCUCACAGCUGCAAGGUGAAGUUUCUGUUGUUGUCACAACCGGUUCAGCUGCACCAGAAUUAUGCAGAUUUUUAGCAACUCUGCUGCCAGAAAAUUCAGCUCCCGUGUGCCCUUUCCAAUCUCCAAUCUACUUCCUAGAAUGUUACCAGACUAGAAGACGAAUUGAACUAGCAUCUGCAUCAAUUAAGCUCGUCCAUAGACCAUCACAGUUUCAAUUAUAAAGCCAGACAAAUACUCUGCUGCUUACUCAAAGUGACACAACCGAACUGCACUACUGUUAAUUUAUCAAACAGUUUCCGUGCAAGAGUUCCAAUCAAAGAAAAGCAAGCAAUUAUAGGAUUUAUAAUGAAGGUGGCACUCAAAAAAUAACUUAGGAAGAGCUCUAGAUUGGAUUUAGAAAGCAAUAAAACAAUAUACAAGUUGCAUGAUAUCAAAUUCAAGCUCACAUAUGUAUUAGGCAAAAUUGUUUGUUAAAAUGCCUAAGUGCCAUUUUUUGUGCUGCACAAAUAAUGUUCUAGGAUUGGCACGGUUUCUGCAUUUUUUCUGUUGUCUUUUCUAUUUCUUUUUUAUACUUCUGCAAAGUUUUUAUGCAGUAUUUCAAUUAAUUCUUGCUGCCAAAUCCUAUUAAAUGACAUGGCACAUAACAAUCAAGCAUAUGCAAAGAAUUUUCCCACUAAACUUGUAUGAACAACAAAGAAUUGCCUUAAAACUAGCCACUCCAUAUGACUUGCACCAAUUGGACCUUAAACUAUCAGUUUAAUAACACUAACAAGUUUGUUUAGAUAAUUGAAACUUGUUUGUGCUCUCAACUGAGGUGAGAUACCAGUAGAUCAAAAUUGGACUGGUCUAGUUCCAUAUUUUCACGGUUUCAAUCAAGUCCAAUAGUGAUUUUGGAUUAUACCGGCGCAAAUGAGUUUUAGGCAAUCAAACUGAAUCAGAAACACAAUUUGAAACUUUCACAAAGUGGCAGAAAUGAAAUUGGAUGGCUAGCCAUCAGAUUAAAAUGCUAAACCAGAUUCAAAACCAGAAAAUUAGACUCAAGCAAAGGUUUGUGCAGAUCGGUCAACUACUUUUAACUUUUCUGCUAUGAUUACUCAAUGAUUCCAAUCUUAUGCCGCAGGAUAUAGGUGCUUAAAUGGAAUACAUAUAAGUUUUCAAGCAGCAAAAAAUAAUACAGCAAAUUCGUUUGACAGCCAAUGCAACAGUACAAAUUAUGCACGUUUUCGAUACGGCUGAUGCAGAUUUUGGAAAUCUAAGUUCACUAAUGUCAUCAAGCUCAUUCAAAAUUGAAUUUCAUAGCUUAUAACAGAUGAACACCGUGUACUAACUGCAGAUUUGGUUUCACUCACAGCAAUUGCAAUUGGAACAAACACUUCAGAUUUAAGAGACAAUUGAAACAAUGCAAACCAAGGCACAUGACUUUGACAUUACCGUAGAGACUUAUCAAAUCAAAAUGACUCAAUAUUGAAAUGAUCCGAUUGAAAAUGAAAAUGUAAAACAAAGCAAUAAAAGCUGGUAUGAAAGAAAGGACUCAAACAGAACCAAAAAAUAAAAACGAACACAAAUCAGUACAGUACACACUCAAUGAAAAUAGAGAAAGGAAAACUGUGACAGUACGGAAUGUAGAAGAAGUGACUUAGCUAGAGCGUGAUUUAGCAGAAACUGUGGCUCUGAAUACCAAAUGGGGAUUGAAUGCAGCGGAAGAUGUUAGGAAAUGAUCCAGAGGCAGCGUAUGAGGUCGCUAAUGGUUUGACAGCAGCGGAAGGAUGAAUUUCAAUGGUGUAGGUGAUGGAGUGAAGAGCUCUUGGUGGAGACGGUCUAGCUCAGACGGUCUUUCUAGAGGAAGAAAGCUAGGUGGAGAGGGGAAAAGGCUCAGGAAGUGACUUUGGCAGAGUUUACCUAUGCUGGAAAAAUGCAUCAAUAGAAGAAUUCAUCUCAUAUAUUCCAAAGUAUAUUACAAUGAGUGCAACCAUGGAUUUAUAGACUCAUCCAUGAGGCUGCAGCGUGGCAGUGAUGACCGUGAGAUGCGGAUCUAAUGCAACGUGUGUCAAGCAAGAAAAAUGGUGUGUGUGUUCUAGAAAGAAAUAACCACGGUAUACAUAUGCUGACAAUGUGCAUUUCAUCAUGCAACCCCUUUAUUACUAAGCUCACCCCCCUCCCUUUGUGGAAAUGACUUCUUUAUCUUUCUUCUUAGGUUGGGUUGGUGGACUUUAUUUAUUGGGCUUGGUCCCUGCGUACCAGUCAUGGUUGGAGGCAGUAGCUACCACAACACAUUGAAUUUUAUUUAUUUAUUUAGCACUUUUCAUUUUAUUUGAAAUUGAAGUACUCGUUGCAUUUGAUGUUUGUGAUCCAGCGUCAGCUACUGUUGCAUUUAUUCCAUUUUAAAUUUAAGAGGACAUUUGGUGUUUGAAAGGAGGGCAACAACCGCACAUAGCAUUCUUCUUUCUUUAACUUUGUUUCUGCUGAAUGAGAAAUAAGAGGCACGGUCCCUUCCAUUUUAAAAGCACAUUGGUU